AGUGAACGCUGGCGGUAGGCCUAACACAUGCAAGUCGAACGGCAGCACAGUAAGAGCUUGCUCUUACGGGUGGCGAGUGGCGGACGGGUGAGGAAUACAUCGGAAUCUACUUUUUCGUGGGGGAUAACGUAGGGAAACUUACGCUAAUACCGCAUACGACCUACGGGUGAAAGCAGGGGAUCUUCGGACCUUGCGCGAUUGAAUGAGCCGAUGUCGGAUUAGCUAGUUGGCGGGGUAAAGGCCCACCAAGGCGACGAUCCGUAGCUGGUCUGAGAGGAUGGUCAGCCACCCUGGAACUGAGACACGGGCCAGACUCCUACGGGAGGGAGCAGGUGGGAAUUUUGGACAAUGGGCGCAAGCCUGAUCCAGCCAUACCGCGUGGGUGAAGAAGGCCUUCGGGUUGUAAAGCCCUUUUGUUGGGAAAGAAAAGCAGCAGGUUAAUACCCCGCUGUUCUGACGGUACCCAAAGAAUAAGCACCGGCUAACCUCGUG
rnacentral:rRNA from 1 species